GACGAACGCUGGCGGCGUGCCUAACACAUGCAAGUCGAGCGAGUUGAUUCUCUUCGGAGAUGAAGCUAGCGGCGGACGGGGUGAGUAACACGUGGGCAACCUGCCUCAUAGAGGGGAAUAGCCUCCCGAAAGGGAGAUUAAUACCGCAUAAGAUUGUAGCUUCGCAUGAAGUAGCAAUUAAAGGAGCAAUCCGCUAUGAGAUGGGCCCGCGGCGCAUUAGCUAGUUGGUGAGGUAACGGCUCACCAAGGCGACGAUGCGUAGCCGACCUGAGAGGGUGAUCGGCCACAUUGGGACUGAGACACGGCCCAGACUCCUACGGGAGGCAGCAGUGGGGAAUAUUGCACAAUGGGGGAAACCCUGAUGCAGCAACGCCGCGUGAGUGAUGACGGCCUUCGGGUUGUAAAGCUCUGUCUUCGGGGACGAUAAUGACGGUACCUGAGGAGGAAGCCACGGCUAACUACGUGCCAGCCGCCGCCGUAA
rnacentral:rRNA from 1 species